rfam:Populus trichocarpa scaffold_5_contig_411, whole genome shotgun sequence.
UCAAUUUGAAUUGUUGAAUGCUCAGUCUCUUAUUUGUUUUUUUUACGAUUUAGAUUCACGAGUAGGAAGAUCUGAAGC